CAAUACUCGGGACGCAUAAUGUACGCCGACGCGUAUGCGCGUGUAGUACGUAUUAUUAAUGUACGAUAAUGUCGACUGUAUUAUGGCUGUCGCCGUGGUAAAUGGUACGAAACAUUUUGCAGCAGUCGACAACCAAAAGUAAAUUGCAUCAAACGGCAGCGAUAAUAGUGAGAAUAGAUAAUAUACUGAUGUACGUAUAUGGUCAUCGGCCACUACUGAGCUACCAUCUACACGUCGACACUCUCACGUGAGUCGUGAACGAACAGUUAGAGACGUUUCGGCGAUGUAAAAGUAUUAUGGAGAGAAAAGGCUCAUGAGGAAACCGCACGGCAAUAUCCAUUAGAGUGCUUUCAGGAAAUUGCGGCUAAUAUCCGUCGGCGGUGGACUAUGGUCAGUGCUCGAAAAGAGUCGUACUCAAAGGAUAAUAGUUAUUUAUCGACAACCAGAACACAAGCCAACCACCAUUGAUUCUAUCUGCAACUUUUAUCUACUAAUCAUAUUUUUCUCCAAAAAUUUACACCCAUUAAAAUUCAUAU